rnacentral:rRNA from 1 species
AACGGCCGCGGUACCCUAACCGUGCGAAGGUAGCAUAAUCACUUGUUCUUUAAAUAGGGACUCGUAUCAACGGCAUCACGAGGGCUAUACUGUCUCCUUUCUCUAAUCAGUGAAACUGAUCUCCUCGUGAAGAAGCGAGGAUAGUUUUAUAAGACGAGAAGACCCCAUGGAGCUUUAAACCCAAUGUACAUCUCUACGCAUAUAAGCCCCAAUAGCCCAAGAAAAUUGUAUGUUGGUUUUGGGUUGGGGGGACCGCGGAGAAAAAAUUAACCUCCACGACAAACGGGCCUAUGCCCUUAUCCAUGAGCUACCGCUCUAAGAAUCAAUAAACUGAUGUUCAGUGACCCAAUUUAUUUGAUCAACGAACCAAGUUACCCUGGGGAUAACAGCGCAAUCUACUUCAAGAGCCCCUAUCGACAAGUAGGUUUACGACCUCGAUGUUGGAUCAGGGUGUCCUAGU